AUUUUGUCCUAAUUUCAGUGAUGAUCUCAUUAAAAUUUGGUUUCAUAUUUAUCAUUUGUCACAACCAGAAAUGGAUCCUACUGCCUUUGAAAGCAUAUGCAGGGAUGCUGGUGCUGAGAAUCUCUAUAAUUGUAUAAAUGAUGCUAUAUGUUCUAAUAGAAUGUCCACUGAACGCAAACAGCUUAGUAAACUUCGAACAAUGGUCGUUAUUUAUAUCAUGGUAUAUUCACAGUCCCAAAGAUCCAACUCAUUUCAAGUAGCCUUGUCGAGAACUCUUCAACAGUUU